UACGGAGGGUGCAAGCGUUGUUCGGAAUCAUUGGGCGUAAAGCGCGCGCAGGCGGCCUAUCAAGUCUGGUGUGAAAGCCCGGGGCUCAACCCCGGAAGUGCACUGGAAACUGGAAGGCUUGAGUCCGAGAGGGGCCAGUGGAAUUCCUGGUGUAGGAGUGAAAUCCGUAGAGAUCAGGAGGAACACCAGUGGCGAAGGCGACUGGCUGGAUCGGUACUGACGCUGAGGCGCGAAAGCGUGGGGAGCAAACAGG
rnacentral:misc_RNA from 1 species